rnacentral:tRNA from 1 species
UGCACUCGUAGCCUAGCCCGGAUAAGGCACUGGCCUCCUAAGCCAGGGAUCAGGGGUUCGAAUCCCCUCGGGUGCGU